rnacentral:misc_RNA from 1 species
GCAAACUUGGUCAUUUAGAGGAAGUAAAAGUCGUAACAAGGUCUCCGUUGGUGAACCAGCGGAGGGAUCAUUACAAAACGAGUUGCUUCGGCGCUCCAACCCACUGUGAACAUACCAUUGUUUCCUCGGCGCGGCUCGCGCCCGCCGGGGGCCUUCAAACUCGAAUUUACAGCGUGUAUUUCUGAGGGGCGAAAGCCUGAAAAAAAUAAAUCAAAACUUUCAACAACGGAUCUCUUGGCUCUGGCAUCGAUGAAGAACGCAGC